ACGCUCGACACCUACGGGGGGCAGCAGUGGGGGAAGUAAUUGGGCAAUGGGCGAAAGCCUGACCCAGCAACGCCGCGUGAGGGAAGAAGGUUUUCGGAUUGUAAACCUCUGUCCUCAGGGACGAAGGACGUGACGGUACCUGAGGAGGAAGCCCCGGCUAACUACGUGCCAACAGCCGCGGUAAUCUGAGCGGGCUGGCAAGGC
rnacentral:rRNA from 1 species